AACUGCCAUUUUCGUCCCUGUGGUUUGGUCACUUUGGCCAUUUCAGUCCAUUUAAUGGACUGAAAUGGCCAAAGUGACCAAACCACAGGGACGAAAAUGGCAGUUAAC
rnacentral:miRNA from 1 species